CACCACAGCCUCCAUCCGCCUCGCGAACCCUGGCGUCGGCCACGACGCAGCGCACACCGCCAAUGAUGUCGACCACCGCCGCCGUCGGCAUCUACAGAGGCAUGCGUACUCAAGACCAGCCGGACGAGGAGGAGAGGAUGCUCGGAGCUAAAGCUGUGCACGGGCAAAGUCAAGGAGGCAGCCAGUAUCCAUGAUGGGCUACGAGGCAAGCCUGGACGUGUGCGUAGGCGCAGCGUCCUGCAAUUUGUGCAAGAUACAGCCGUCACGGCCAGACCAACAGUCUGUCGGCGGCGACCACGCUUUCUGCCAAAUGGAUGGCUCAGCAGCCGAUCGAUGUUCAUCUUGUCCUGCCAAGGCAUGAAUAUACUUUCAGUUCUGGGGCAGCUUCUAAAUAUAGAUGGAUAUAAUCAAUCCUCUCGACCUGUAAAUGGAGCGGCUCCGGCGGCAACACUCGGCUAUGCAUCCCUCACAUCCAUCUACCACCGUGGUCAGAAUGCUACUAGUAGGACCUGUACUUCGAGGAGGAAGUGGGGACAUUUGUUGGUUCUGGUGUGGUGCCCUCUCUGCUUGGGUUCACCAACGACGAAUCUGUCCCUGGAUCCACGUAUGUUGUUGGAGAGGACACAGCCGUCCCGCGGCAUGGCCGUGGAUGACCUCAAGCAUGAGGUGUCUAGGAUGGACACUUGCUGGCAUUACCAUCAAGUGCGGCGCCAAGUUAAUCUCACUCACUCCAAUACUGUUGUUCUGGCAUGUAUAGAUGCUGCACAUGCUCAUCUCUGUGUGUGCAUAAUGUAUGGUUCUUGCAAAAUCUGAGGAUGGGUUUUGAAGAGUAAGAAUUCCUGAAAUUUUGGUUCGGAAAUACUAUGUUCCCUUGAUAUUUUAUUUGUGAUGUAACAGUCUAGU